GAUGAACGCUGGCGGCGUGCCUAAUACAUGCAAGUCGAGCGAACGGACGAGAAGCUUGCUUUUCUGAUGUUAGCGGCGGACGGGUGAGUAACACGUGGAUAACCUACCUAUAAGACUGGUAUAACUUCGGGAAACCGGAGCUAAUACCGGAUAAUAUUUUGAACCGCAUGGUUCAAAGGUGAAAGACGGUCGUGCUGUCACUUAUAGAUGGAUCCGCGCUGCAUUAGCUAGUUGGUAAGGUAACGGCUUACCAAGGCAACGAUGCAUAGCCGACCUGAGAGGGUGAUCGGCCACACUGGAACUGAGACACGGUCCAGACUCCUACGGGAGGCAGCAGUAGGGAAUCUUCCGCAAUGGGCGAAAGCCUGACGGAGCAACGCCGCGUGAGUGAUGAAGGUCUUCGGAUCGUAAAACUCUGUUAUUAGGGAAGAACAUAUGUGUAAGUAACUGUGCACAUCUUGACGGUACCUAAUCAGAAAGCCACGGCUAACUACGUG
rnacentral:rRNA from 1 species